rnacentral:rRNA from 1 species
AGAUACCAGCUGGCUGCAACUGUUUAUUAAAAACACAGCACUGUGCAAACACGAAAGUGGACGUAUACGGUGUGACGCCUGCCCGGUGCCGGAAGGUUAAUUGAUGGGGUUAUCCGUAAGGAGAAGCUCUUGAUCGAAGCCCCGGUAAACGGCGGCCGUAACUAUAACGGUCCUAAGGUAGCGAAAUUCCUUGUCGGGUAAGUUCCGACCUGCACGAAUGGCGUAAUGAUGGCCAGGCUGUCUCCACCCGAGACUCAGUGAAAUUGAACUCGCUGUGAAGAUGCAGUGUACCCGCGGCAAGACGGAAAGACCCCGUGAACCUUUACUAUAGCUUGACACUGAACACUGGUCCUUGAUGUGUAGGAUAGGUGGGAGGCUUUGAAGUGUGGACGCCAGUCUGCAUGGAGCCAUCCUUGAAAUACCACCCUUUAAUGGCUGGUGUUCUAACGUAGACCCGUAAUCCGGGUUGCGGACAGUGUCUGGUGGGUAGUUUGACUGGGGCGGUCUCCUCCUAAAGAGUAACGGAGGAGCACGAAGGUUAGCUAAUCCUGGUCGGACAUCAGGAGGUUAGUGCAAAGGCAUAAGCUAGCUUGACUGCGAGAGUGACGGCUCGAGCAGGUGCGAAAGCAGGUCUUAGUGAUCCGGUGGUUCUGAAUGGAAGGGCCAUCGCUCAACGGAUAAAAGGUACUCCGGGGAUAACAGGCUGAUACCGCCCAAGAGUUCAUAUCGACGGCGGUGUUUGGCACCUCGAUGUCGGCUCAUCACAUCCUGGGGCUGAAGUAGGUCCCAAGGGUAUGGCUGUUCGCCAUUUAAAGUGGUACGCGAGCUGGGUUUAGAACGUCGUGAGACAGUUCGGUCCCUAUCUGCCGUGGGCGCUGGAGAAUUGAGGGGGGCUGCUCCUAGUACGAGAGGACCGGAGUGGACGCAUCACUGGUGUUCGGGUUGUCAUGCCAAUGGCAUUGCCCGGUAGCUAAAUGCGGAAGAGAUAAGUGCUGAAAGCAUCUAAGCACGAAACUUGCC